GACAUAUCACAUUGAAACACUGGUUCUCAUAUGAUCACCAGAGUUAAGCAAUGUCAAGCCUGGUCAGUACCUAGAUGAGUGACUGCUUGGGAAUAUCAGAUA